rnacentral:rRNA from 1 species
UACUCGCAGAAGAAGCACCGGCUAACUCCGUGCCAGCAGCCGCGGUAAUACGGAGGGUGC